rnacentral:rRNA from 1 species
GACGAACGCUGGCGGCGUGCUUAACACAUGCAGGUCGAACGGAAAGGCCCCUUUGGGGGUCCUCGAGUGGCGAACGGGUGAGUAACACGUGAGUAACCUGCCCUUGACUUCGGGAUAACUUCAGGAAACUGGGGCUAAUACCGGAUAGGAAUCCUUGCUGCAUGGUGGGGGUUGGAAAGCUUCGGCGGUUUUGGAUGGACUCGCGGCUUAUCAGCUUGUUGGUGGGGUAGUGGCUUACCAAGGCUUUGACGGGUAGCCGGCCUGAGAGGGCGACCGGCCACAUUGGGACUGAGAUACGGCCCAGACUCCUACGGGAGGCAGCAGUGGGGAAUAUUGCACAAGGGGCGGCAGCCUGAUGCAGCAACGCCGCGUGCGGGAUGACGGCCUUCGGGUUGUAAAACGCUUUCAGCAGGGGCGAAGCUUGUGGUGACGGUACCUGCAGAAGAAGCACCGGCUAACUACGUG